rnacentral:rRNA from 1 species
AGUGUAGGCGGCUACGUAAGUCGGAUGUGAAAGCCCUGGGCUCAACCUGGGAAUUGCAUUCGAUACUGCGUAGCUAGAGUUUGAUAGAGGUAAGUGGAAUUCCGGGUGUAGCGGUGAAAUGCGUAGAUAUCCGGAGGAACAUCAGUGACGAAGGCGGCUUACUGGAUCAAAACUGACGCUGAGGCUCGAAAGCGUGGGGAGCAAACAGGAUUAGAUACACUGGUAGUCC